GAUGAACGCUGGCGGCGUGCCUAAUACAUGCAAGUCGAGCGAACGGACGAGAAGCUUGCUUCUCUGAUGUUAGCGGCGGACGGGUGAGAACACGUGGAUAACCUACCUAUAAGACUGGGAUAACUUCGGGAAACCGGAGCUAAUACCGGAUAAUAUUUUGAACCGCAUGGUUCAAAAGUGAAAGACGGUCUUGCUGUCACUUAUAGAUGGAUCCGCGCUGCAUUAGCUAGUUGGUAAGGUAACGGCUUACCAAGGCAACGAUGCAUAGCCGACCUGAGAGGGUGAUCGGCCACACUGGAACUGAGACACGGUCCAGACUCCUACGGGAGGCAGCAGUAGGGAAUCUUCCGCAAUGGGCGAAAGCCUGACGGAGCAACGCCGCGUGAGUGAUGAAGGUCUUCGGAUCGUAAAACUCUGUUAUUAGGGAAGAACAUAUGUGUAAGUAACUGUGCACAUCUUGACGGUACCUAAUCAGAAAGCCACGGCUAACUACGUG
rnacentral:rRNA from 1 species